rnacentral:rRNA from 1 species
UACGGAGGGUGCAAGCGUUAUCCGGAUUUACUGGGUUUAAAGGGUGUGUAGGCGGGUCUUUAAGUCAGUGGUGAAAUCUCCGAGCUCAACUUGGAAACUGCCAUUGAUACUAUUGAUCUUGAAUUUUUGUUGAGGUAGGCGGAAUAAGUCAUGUAGCGGUGAAAUGCAUAGAUAUGACUUAGAACACCAAUUGCGAAGGCAGCUUACUAAGCAAAUAUUGACGCUGAGGCACGAAAAGCGUGGGGAUCAAACAGG